rnacentral:rRNA from 1 species
AUGGCGCCGCGCGGCAACCGCAGCAGCAAGAAGCCGCCGCCGCCGCCGCGGGGCAAGGGCAAGGGCAAGCGCCCCUCCGCCGCCGCCGCCGGAGACGACCCCUUCUUCGAGUCGGAGCCCAAGCGCCGCCGCGCCCGCGCGGACGAGGACAUCGAGAGCGGGGACAGCGACGACGACACCCUCGCGCUGGGCGGCGCCGUCGCGGGCGGGGAUGAGGAGGAGGAGGAGGAGGAGGAGAAGGAGACGGCCGGGGAGAAGAGGUUGCGGAUGACCAAGGAGUACCUGGAGAGGAUCGCCGACGCGGUGAAGAGGAACAAGGAGGAAGAGGAGGAGGACGACGACGAAGAUGACGACGAGGAUGAUGGUUUGCCCGGGGGGAGGCGGGUCGCCAAGCUCCUCCGGAAGAAGCAGCUCGUGGAGAGCGGCAGGCAGCGCCUGAGCCUCGCCGCAAGGGUGUUACCACCUGGCCAGCAGGAUGGAUUCAAAUUUAUAGCCAAGCACCGGCAGCCAGUGACUGCCGUUGCUUUGUCGAAGGACAGCGACAAGGGGUUUUCGGCAUCCAAAGAUGGAGUUAUCCUCCAUUGGGAUGUCGAGACCGGGCAAAGCGAGAAGUAUUUGUGGCCAACUGAAAAGGUGUUGGUUUCUCACCAUGCUAAAGCUCCUCUCUCUAAGAAGAGAAGCCAGCAGGUGCUUGCACUGGCUGUUAGUUCCGAUGGGCGAUACUUGGCCACUGGUGGCUUCGAUAGGCAUAUCCAUUUGUGGGAUGUUCGAUCACGGGAGCACAUACAGGCAUUCAGUGGACAUAGAGGGCCCGUAUCCUGUCUUGCUUUCGGCCUGGACUCUUCAGAGCUAUUCUCUGGUUCUUAUGAUCGUUCAAUAAUGCAGUGGAAUGCUGAAGAUAGAACAUACAUGCACUGCCUAUAUGGUCAUCAGGGUGAAAUAUUGACAACUGACGCACUCAGCAAAGAUAGACUUCUGACUGUAGCACGGGAUAGAACAAUGCAUCUUUGGAAGAUACCGGAGGAGUCACAGUUAGUCUUUCGUGCUCCUGCUGUGUCUUUGGAGUGCUGCUGCUUUAUCGAUGACAAGGAAUAUUUGUCUGGAUCAGAUGAUGGAAGCCUCGAGCUUUGGAGUGUUAUGAGAAAGAAACCUACUCACAUAAUAAAAAAUGCCCAUCCAGCAUUAGCUCCUAGUUCACUUGACAGUGCUGAUGAAAAGUUGCCCAAAGAAAAUGGAAUUUGUAAGCCUCAAAGCCUUUCAUCAGCUCAUUCAUGGAUUAGUGCUGUUGCUGCAAGAAAAGGUUCUGAUCUGGCUGCGUCUGGAGCAGCUAAUGGUGUUGUUCGCCUUUGGACAAUUCAACCUGAUUCAAAAGGGAUGCAGCCAUUGUUCGACUUGCCACUGGAUGGCUUUGUCAAUUCUCUUGCAAUAGCAAAAUCAGGACGCUUCAUUGUUGCUGGUGUUGGCCGAGAACCUCGUCUUGGAAAAUGGGGCCGAGUCGCAACAGCAAAGAAUGGGGUUGCAAUUCAUCGGCUCAGUCUACAAGAUGACUCUGAAGAUUUGUAA